rnacentral:rRNA from 1 species
UACGUAGGGUGCGAGCGUUGUCCGGAAUUAUUGGGCGUAAAGAGCUCGUAGGCGGUUUGUCGCGUCUGGUGUGAAAAUCCAGGGCUUAACCCUGGACCUGCAUCGGGUACGGGCAGACUAGAGUGCGGUAGGGGGAGAUCGGAAUUCCUGGUGUAGCGGUGAAAUGCGCAGAUAUCAGGAGGAACACCGGUGGCGAAGGCGGAUCUCUGGGCCGUAACUGACGCUGAGGAGCGAAAGCAUGGGGAGCGAACAGG